UCGGUUUGUUAUCACAAAUAAUCUCAGUAGGAACCCAAUGUGUACAUGUAUACCUUUCGUACGCUAACGCCGUAACAACUCACGACGCUUUCAACACUAUAGCCCAUGUAUUAGUUACAAAGAGCUUCAAGCGCAAGUUGCGAUUGGUUGUAGAGUUUGCCUUAGCCAUUCUUUCCAUUCAGAAGGCUUACAUGGCAGUUAAGUUGAUGAAUUGAGAUCAUUAUUAUUUCAUCACACAUAACUCAUUGUGGCUAAGGGCUGAAAACAACACGCUUACAAUUCAGUUCACCGCCAACUCAGCCGUCCGCUUAAUACAUCUCCUAGGCCUUUUUGUGAACUCACUUCUUCUCGACCGCGAGGUUCUAAAUAUGUGAGCACAUCCAAACCAAGCCCGUUUCCUGCUAAAAUUUAUGCAGAAUUCGUGGGAUAACAGGUGCUUGUGAAUGAUUUAUUACAGACAAAUCAUUCUAAACAUUUCUCUUUGGGCGCACUAUUAUAGGACACGCAGAGAAAGGGGAUCAAAGGUUGGCCAAAUUCCGCCAAACGUUAACCAAAACUUGAACACAUUGAAGGAAAAAGUGUGAAAGACACUAAACAAAUGGAAGAAACAUUUUUGCGGGUUUUCUUUCUUAAAAAACAUUUUCAAGUUGUUGAACCAAUUUUCAUUCAACAUUUAUACAGGUGUGUUUGUCUGACAAAAACUAGACAACCUACGUUAAUUUUUUAUACUUCUUUGCGAUCACAAAAAACCAUUACUCACAAAUUUUUAAUAGUUUUUUGUUCUGAGCGCAUUGGCAACCAUGAGUUGAGCGGAGAGCAACGGCCAAACCAGACCCUUUUUUCUAGCUGCUGUCGUCCCAAAAGAAAAAUCACCCAAUUUGUGUGACUGCUCACGACAUGGAGCUAAAGAUGACUGGUUAAGGCUUUGAAGGAGUUUGUAACGAAAGGGUCUUGGUGUUUCACUGGGCAAUGGAUGUUAUGUGCUCGCGCGCCCUUUAGGCCACAAUUCACUGGACGAAUCAUGUUUACUGGGAUUGUUUUCGGACGGACGGAAGACACAAGGACCGACCUAGCGUGUUGACCGUUUGAGGCCACGCCCCCUCACGUCACUCUUCGUCCCACCAGUGCAGUAGCGUCGAUUCCGUGAAACCUAGAAGGCUCAGGUCAUGAUAUGAAUCAAACAAACACUUAAUAUGACUACAUAUUUACUUAACGCUCUUUUAGAUGCAUCCGUUCUAUUUAAUGUAACCCUCAUUUAGACUUUCCGCUUAAGUAAUUGUUAUUCUUUUUGGAGACAAAAUUGCUAAGUCUUAAAAUAGCAGUAACCGGUCUUUUCCCAUAUUAUUCAAGUAAAUGCAGCACAUUUCUUCCACAACUCGUAAGACUGUGGCGAAAACCAAAAGGAUGAAAAAUGACGAUUUAUCGGUAUAGUUAAAGAAGGUCAAUCACGCCGCCAUUCUAUGCUCCUACUGAGUGACUCAAAAAAUCCAUUUCCAUAGAUAUUUUUAAUCAAAUAUCUUCAAUAACGUAUCAGAAUUCAUUCGUAGAUUGUUAUUUUAAGGUUUCCGUACAAAUAAACCGGUUGUAUUUUCAACUAUAAACAAUAACAAAGGAGUGGUUGGUCGACAUUUUUUAAGCCUCAGGUAAUUUAAGGGAUUGAUAAAAGGGAUUGAGUUUUUUUAAAGUAGAAAAAUAUAUAAAGAAGCCUAAGUUAAUAAGAAUGCAACGUUUACAGGA